AUUGAACGCUGGCGGCAGGCCUAACACAUGCAAGUCGAGCGAGCGGCGGACGGGUGAGUAAUGUCUGGGGAACUGCCUGAUGGAGGGGGAUAACUACUGGAAACGGUAGCUAAUACCGCAUACAAUCAGAUGAGCCCAGAUGGGAUUAGCUAGUAGGUGGGGUAACGGCUUACCUAGGCGACGAUCCCUAGCUGGUCUGAGAGGAUGACCAGCAACCCUGGAACUGAGCAACGGCCCAGACUCCUACGGGAGGCAGCAGUGGGGAAUAUUGCACAAUUGGCGCAAGCCUGAUGCAGCCAUGCCGCGUGUAAGAAGAAGGCCUGCGGGUUGUAAAGCACUUUCAGCCGGGAGGCGUUACCCGCAGAAGAAGCACCGGCUAACUCCGUGCCAGCAGCCGCGGUAAUAC
rnacentral:rRNA from 1 species